GUUUAAAUUGUUCAUAGAGUAGUUUUUUCUACAUUCCUUGUUUAUAAUGUUUAUAUUGCUUUUUGGUACUUAAGCUCUAGUGUUCAGUUUCAAACUUGUUGAGCAAGCUGUUUCAAACCAGCAGUCUGUCAUAACUUUAAAACACACCAACAUUAGUUGUCAAUAUGUAUGCUGCUCUGGAAAUCAAAACAAACCACUGUAGGCAGAUGUAGGCAGAUAAGUCAUUGCUCUAAGUGUUAAAAAAAACUAACUCAUAUUCAAUUUCUGACCUGCCAAGCAAGCUGUUUCAAAUUAGCACUCAACCGUUACUUAAAAUCAAACAACAUUUUGAUCACUUCAGUAUGGGCUCUGUAACUUUUACAGAUACCAUAAGCCUGAAUCAAGUCUGACAGUUCCUGAAGCCCAGUACCGGGAAUCAGGUUCUGCUACUUGGUCUCAUGGUUUCACACUAACCCUGACCCUCCAUCAGAGCGUGUUGUCCCUCAGGUUUUAGGUUAUUUUCUUCUGUUGUGUAAAUGGUUCAUAGAGUAUUUUUUCUACAUUCCUUGUUUAUAAUGUUUAUAUUGCUUGUUGGUACUUUACUUCUAGUGUUCAGCUCCGUAACUUUUAUAGAUACGAUACGCCUGGAUCAAGUCUGACAGUUCCUGAGGCCCAGUCCCGGGAGUCAGGUUCUGCUACUUGGUCUCAUGGUUUCACACUACCGCUGAUCCUCCAUCAGAGCGUGUUGUCCCUCAGGUUUUAGGUUAUUUUCUUCUGUUGUUUAAAUAAUUCAUAGAGUAGCUUUUUCUACAUUCCUUGUUUAUAAUGUUUAUAUUGCUUUUUGGUACCUUAGUUCUAGUGUUCAGUUCUGUAACUUUUAUAGAUACCAUACGCCUGGAUCAAGACUGACAGUUCCUGAGGCCCAGUACCGGGAAUCAGGUUCUGCUACUUGGUCUCAUGGUUUCACACUAACCCUGACCCUCCAUCAGAGCGUGUUGUCCCUCAGGUUUUAGGUUAUUUUCUUCUGUUGUGUAAAUGGUUCAUAGAGUAUUUUUUCUACAUUCCUUGUUUAUAAUGUUUAUAUUGCUUGUUGGUACUUUACUUCUAGUGUUCAGCUCCGUAACUUUUAUAGAUACGAUACGCCUGGAUCAAGUCUGACAGUUCCUGAGGCCCAGUCCCGGGAGUCAGGUUCUGCUACUUGGUCUCAUGGUUUCACACUACCGCUGAUCCUCCAUCAGAGCGUGUUGUCCCUCAGGUUUUAGGUUAUUUUCUUCUGUUGUUUAAAUAAUUCAUAGAGUAGCUUUUUCUACAUUCCUUGUUUAUAAUGUUUAUAUUGCUUUUUGGUACCUUAGUUCUAGUGUUCAGUUCUGUAACUUUUAUAGAUACCAUACGCCUGGAUCAAGACUGACAGUUCCUGAGGCCCAGUACCGGGAAUCAGGUUCUGCUACUUGGUCUCAUGGUUUCACGCUAACCUUGACCCUCUGUCAGAGCGUGUUGUCCCUCAGGUUUUAGGUUAUAUUCUUCUGUUGUUUAAAUGGUUCAUAGAGUAUUUUUUCUACAUUCCUGGUUUAUAAUGUUUAUAUUGCUUUUUGGUACUUUAGUUCUAGUGUUCAGUUUCAAACUUGUUGAGCAAGCUGUUUCAAACCAGCAGUCUGUCAUAACUUUAAAACACACCAACAUUAGUUGUCAAUAUGUAUGCUGCUCUGGAAAUCAAAACAAACCACUGUAGGCAGAUGUAGGCAGAUAAAUCAUUGCUCUAAGUGUUAAAAAAAACUUUUAAAAAAUUUCUGACCUGCCAAGCAAGCUGUUUCAAAUUAGCACUCAACCGUUACUUAAAAUCAAACAACAUUUUGAUCACUUCAGUAUGGGCUCUGUAACUUUUACAGAUACCAUAAGCCUGAAUCAAGUCUGACAGUUCCUGAGGCCCAGUACCGGGAGUCAGGUUCUGCUACUUGGUCACAUGGUUUCACACAACCUAAUAAGCAAGCUAUUUCAACUUAGCAGUCAACCCUUACUUGAAAUCACACAACAUUUUUAUCACUUCGCUAUGGGCUCCAUAACUUUUAUAGUACAAAUAACUAUAUGGACAAUACACUUCUGCACAAUAAUUUUAUGGAGGUAUGGUUUCUUCAAGCCCAGGGCGUGUAGCCCAGUACCGGGAAACACCCCAGGGAUAAGGAGAAUUAAUUACCUCCCAUUUCUGCAAUUAUCCCCCUCUCGCACCCCCAGCUGCAAAACUGUUUCUCUUUACACUGUUUAACCUGUUUUUAUGGGCAAGACAUUACAGUGCACUUGGUGUAUGAAGGUAUAUUUCUCAGACCCAGAGUGUGUGGCCCAGUACCGGGAGACCCUCUGGGAUGAGGAGUAUUAUCUCCAUUGUGAAAUGCUCUCCAAACUGCUACUACAAUGUUUCUAGACAUCAGUCACCUGUUACUUUGAAUCACACCUAAAUUGACUGUUGACAUGUAUUCUGCUCUACAAAACCAAACAAAAACUGUAGACAGACCACUCAUUGCUCGUAGUGUUAAAAAAAACUAUAUAUAUGAUAAUAUUCGCUGUGUGACCUUCUCAGCUGGCUGUUUCAAGCCAGUAGUCCGCCGCUAGGUUAAAUCAUACCAACACUGCAAUCACACUAAUGUCCUUUUAUUAAUACAAAACAAAAGCAAUCUCAUAAUGCUUGGUUGUCACUUUAACUAACUUUUCCCAGCCUCUUUUUGGAAGAGAGCAGUCUUUUUCUAACUGUAUUGCAGGUCUGCCAAGCCCCUCUGUGACAGCCUGGAUCAGCCACACCCGCACUUCAUCCAUAGAGCUCAGCUUGUCCAUGUACGAAGACGCCUUGCAGGUUUGAAAUGUAAUGUCAAGUUGUACAAAUUAUUGUGUAUACAUGUCACUGCUAAGUCUAGUCCUCACAGCCCCAGUCAGUUGGUCAGAGGAAGGAUGGCAACUUCUCCAGUGGGCACAAAAAUGAAGGACGUGACACGCUCCAGACCAAGAAGACCAAUGGGCAACUGUCAGGAAGACCCCAGCCACCGAAACAUUGAGCAUCUGCAUAGGACAUGAGGACACAGGCACGGCAGCCGAGGAGACUGAAGAUGGCCAGGCAGAUCAAUGGCACCCCUGCUGAGGAAACAAAGCAGCAACAAAUGAAAAAGUUCAGAUACCGCAGAAGACUCAAGAAGAAAACAACCAAAGAAAGGAACAAGAGCUCCACUGAGGACAUGUUAGUUUUGUGGCACAGAUUUCAAUUGGUCCUGUGCACAAUCAUAGUGAGUGGACAUUGUUCCAUCCCCAGUUAGGUUUAAGAGCGGGUUCCCUUUGGAACUCGUUUGGGGGGGGUGUUAGUGUGGCAUGAACGUGGUUAGAGCAUUUGUCUCGGGAGCACAUCCGAAGCUACAGGUGGGUCACCAUUUUAUGGUUGCUUUACCAGGCUAUCGGGCUACAGUGCAUAAGUACCCGCCACAAGUAGCGCCUGAAGACUAGGGAGGAGCUUAGUUAGAUUUCAGUGUGUUGCUCUUCUACUGUAAAUAAAUGUUGUUCCUCACAAAACAUUUGGUGUUUC